rnacentral:rRNA from 1 species
UACGGAGGGUGCAAGCGUUAUCCGGAUUUAUUGGGUUUAAAGGGUCCGUAGGCGGAUCAUUAAGUCAGUGGUGAAAGCCGACAGCUCAACUGUCGAACUGCCAUUGAUACUGGUGAUCUUGAGUACGGUUGAAGUAGGCGGAAUAUGACAUGUAGCGGUGAAAUGCUUAGAUAUGUCAUAGAACACCGAUUGCGAAGGCAGCCUACUAAGCCGUUACUGACGCUGAGGGACGAAAGUGUGGGGAGCGAACAGG